AAUCAACGCUGGCGGCGUGCCUCAGACAUGCAAGUCGAACGCGAAAGUCCCCUUCGGGGACGAAGUAGAGUGGCGCACGGGUGAGUAACACGUAGGUAAUCUACCUUCGGAUGGGGAAGUAACAACCGGAAACGGUUAGCUAAUACCGCAUAAUGCAGCGGCACCUAAUGGUGACAGUUGUUAAAGCGGGGAGUUGAAAGACCUCGCGUCUGAAGAGGAGCCUGCGGCGGAUUAGC
rnacentral:rRNA from 1 species